CCUCUCUCAAAACUUUCGUGAAUAACCUCUCAUCCUCUCACACGAAGUUGCUUCUGCCGGACCGUUCGCCGACUCUGUUCGAGAUCUAGCCGGAUCGUUGGCCGCUUCUUUUCGGUUUGAAACCCUCGGGAAAGAAGAAAUUGUGGAAUUCGUUGGAGUUGGAGGCUUUGAGUUGAGGAAGAUUAUAUACUACUCCAGUCUCCAAUAGUAACUCUAUCUCCAUUGUUGAAGAAGCCCUAGUCAAGCAAUGGAAGCUAGAGGUAGCAGUAACGAUAAUAGGGGUGGUGAAUCUAUGCGUACAUGGAGUAGAGGUGAGGAAGAAGUUUUGCUGGUUCUUUUAGAUGAAGCUGUAGCUAGUGGGCAACGUUGUGACACGGGAGCAUUUAAACCUGGUACACUUAAUAUAAUUGAGCGGCAACUGGCUGAAAUGUGUCCUAACUUGGGAUUGCGAGUAACUCCACAUAUUGAAUCGAAGCUAAAAAAGUGGAAGAAGAAGAGCAUAACAAAGUGUUCUUUGUCCUCCUUGGCUGCUUGGUACACAUGCAUGCAAACUUCUGAUCAACCUUUCCUUACAAAAGCAUCCCAAGUCAUUUGUAUUCCAUUCAUGGAUCGUCAAUGGAAAAAAUGAAUUGAAAUAAAAUAAAGAAAUUGGUAAUCAGUGCACGCACUCCAGAAAAGCUUAACCAGACAGGUCAACGUGGU